rnacentral:rRNA from 1 species
CCUACGGGAGGCAGCAGUGAGGAAUAUUGGUCAAUGGGCGAGAGCCUGAACCAGCCAAGCCGCGUGAGGGAGUACUGCCCUAUGGGUUGUAAACCUCUUUUGUCGGGGAGCAAAAGCCGGACGUGUCCGGCUGUGAGAGUACCCGAAGAAAAAGCAUCGGCUAACUCCGUGCCAGCAGCCGCGGUAAUACGGAGGAUGCGAGCGUUAUCCGGAUUUAUUGGGUUAAAAGGGUGCGCAGGCGGAUUUUUAAGUCAGCGGUAAAAUCGUGGGGCUCAACCCCAUCCAGCCGUUGAAACUGGGGAUCUAGAGUGUGCGAGAGGUAUGCGGAAUGCGUGGUGUAGCGGUGAAAUGCAUAGAUAUCACGCAGAACCCCGAUUGCGAAGGCAGCAUACCGGUGCACAACUGACGCUCAGGCACGAAAGCGUGGGUAUCGAACAGGAUUAGAUACCCCAGUAGUC